GAGAUAUCACACUUUUUAGGUUUCAUUGAGCCAUCGUGGUCAUCGAGAAUUGGGAAAAAUUUGGAUAAUCGGGCUGAAAUUAUCUUAGAGCGUAUAUGGGUCAAACUUUGUUAAUGCCAUACCAUUUCUUACAUCACUAGAUGUUAGUGAUCAUUGAUCCAGAUGACCAUGCAUGUUACUAUCUUGGUCCACUUAGAAAAUCUCCUUCAAAUGAUUUGAAGAACCUUAUGAAUAGUGUAUUUUCACACAUUAAGCGAAAGACAGGAAGGAAUGAAAAAAAUUACAAGUGGAAAAUAGUCAAUUGCCCUCGUCAAACAUCGUCAAUAGAGUGAGACUUUUAUAUCAUAAGGAU